UACGUAGGGUCCGAGCGUUGUCCGGAAUUAUUGGGCGUAAAGGGCUCGUAGGCGGUUCGUCACGUCGGGAGUGAAAACUCGGGGCUUAACCCCGGGCCUGCAGUGGGUACGGGCAGACUAGAGUGCGGUAGGGGAGACUGGAAUUCCUGGUGUAGCGGUGAAAUGCGCAGAUAGUCAAGGAGGGAACACCGGUGGGCGAAGGCGGGUCUCUGGGCCGUAACUGAACGC
rnacentral:rRNA from 1 species